rnacentral:rRNA from 1 species
AGAGUUUGAUCCUGGCUCAGAACGAACGCUGGCGGCGUGCUUAACACAUGCAAGUCGAACGAGAAGUACGUAGCAAUACGUAUUGUAAAGUGGCGAACGGGUGAGUAACACGUGGGUAACCUGCCCUUGAGUUUGGGAUAACCCCGCGAAAGCGGGGCUAAUACCGAAUAAGACCACGGGGACGAAAGUUCCUGAGGUAAAAGAUGGCCUCUAUUUAUAAGCUAUCACUUGAGGAUGGGCCCGCGGCCCAUUAGCUAGUUGGUGGGGUAAUGGCUCACCAAGGCGAUGAUGGGUAGCUGGUCUGAGAGGACGAUCAGCCACACUGGAACUGAGACACGGUCCAGACUCCUACGGGAGGCAGCAGUGGGGAAUAUUGCGCAAUGGGCGAAAGCCUGACGCAGCAACGCCGCGUGGGGGAUGAAGGUUCUCGGAUUGUAAACCCCUUUCGACCGGAACGAAUCCCCUCCUGGUGAACAAUCAGGAGGGUCGACGGUACCGGGAGAAGAAGCCACGGCUAACUCUGUGCCAGCAGCCGCGGUAAGACAGAGGUGGCGAGCGUUGUUCGGAUUUAUUGGGCGUAAAGCGUACGCAGGCGGUUUGGUAAGUCAGAGGUGAAAUUCCGCAGCUUAACUGCGGAACUGCCUUUGAUACUGCCUUUCUAGAGUAUAUGAGGGGGAAGCGGAAUUCCGAGUGUAGAGGUGAAAUUCGUAGAUAUUCGGAGGAACACCGGUGGCGAAGGCGGCUUCCUGGCAUAUAACUGACGCUCAUGUACGAAAGCGUGGGGGAGCAAACAGGAUUAG